AUCAACAUCUGGCAUCCAUCCUAAGGGAUCAACAUUUUUAUUUAUCAAACUAAGAACUAUUAUUAUGUUAUCAGAGAUCUCUAAAAUCUUAAGAUUGAGACAAAUGACGAAACGAAAACACGUUUUUUAAUGCAAUUCAAGACACCUUAAGCAAUUCACAACUCUGACAAAUCCCAGAUAAGAACAUUGUUAAGCAGGGAUUACAUUAACAUAGGUUUUGCCUUAUCCAAUUAUUAUCUACAAGGAAUAACCUUCUGAGUAUACUGAUUUCCUAAUUUCACAUGACCAGAAUUCAUUAAUAAUAUAAAACCUUUUAUUUUGACAUCAUAGAACCCACCACCCCAACAAUCAGGGUAGUGGGAUCGCCAAGAACAGCAGAAAUCACAAACUGUAAAGCAAAUCCAGCCAUUUCCCAACAUUUUUGAACUUUCCUCAGAAAUCUCAUAAAUUUAAUUCACCACCACUUCAGAAAUCUCACGCCACCGCACCUCGUACAACUCUCAGAUUGACUGACCUCGUUGCUUCACCUCGCAGAUUAACGCUGCUCGCACGCUACACCUUGCACAGAUUGAAGUCUCGCGUCGCCUCACCUCCCACAGCCGCUCCGGUGUGUGGUAAAGAGACGAUAGAGAUAAUAGAGAGAGACGAGAGAGGGAGAGGGAGAGGGAGAGGGAGGAGAUGGGUCUGUGUCUGGGUAGUGGGUAGAGUUUUUAAUUUUUGGUAAUUAGUUUAUUCAAAUAAGUAAUAAAAAAAUUCUGAUUUUAUAAUGUUAAACUUUUUCUCUGAUUUUAGAAUUCUUGAUUUUAAUGCUAGGGUUUUGUGUAAUUUCCACUUUUUAAAAUUAACCCACAAACACCAAUUUAAUCCUAGAAUGUGAAACCCAUUUGGCCAUUCCAUUCAAAAUUCCAAAUCCAGUAACCCACCUAAUCAUACAUUCAUACCUCUUAGAAUCUCAAAUCUCAAAUCUCAUUUUCUUAUUGAUUUUGGAAAUGCCCAAGCCUGAAGCCUCUGCAAGCCAAAUUAUAGAAAGAAAAUGGUAUUGGUGGCAACCACAUUCCGAGGUAUUGUCAUUUCUGAUUCAUCACGUUUCAUCACUUCAUCUCCGAUUUCUCACCGGAAUUUUGAGGUAUCGAUGUAUUGUCAUUUUAUGCACAAUAAUAAAAUGCUAUAUUUUGUUGUUUGUACGAAAUUAUGAAGUUGAAUUUCUAUUAGCAAAAAAAAAAAAAAAAAAAAAAACUGCUUGGAUAAGUCACAAUAGGAACAUUUUCGGUUUUUACCAAAUUAGUGUCGACUGAAUGGAAAUGGGUACUGAAGACUAGAAGAGACUUUGGAUUUUGGGUGAUAAAUUAGUGGGAAUUUAUUUAGAAAAAUAAAUUCUUGUAAACAAGUUUUGAAAUACAAAUUAUACAAUUUAUUUAUACCUCUGCAUCUCUUCCUUAAUCUUGUAGAGAAGGUGUUUGUUGAAAUGACAGAUCAUUCUCAGAUUCUCUUAUUGCUUCUACACAUUAUUGUUUUUGUUAUUCAGUUUGAGAAUUGAGAUUGAGAUUCAUAUCUAAAGGGUUAGCCGGUUAGGUUAUUUAUGGUAUCAAUUUUGAUUAGGUUUAGAAUAAUAGUUUUGUAAGUAUAGUAUAUUUUACGU
rnacentral:lncRNA from 1 species